GGCGGAUGNAGCCAAGUGGAUCAAGGCAGUGGAUU
rnacentral:tRNA from 1 species